CAACUACUCCCUCUGUCCCAAAAUUCUUGUCUUAGAUUUGUCUAGAUACGGAUGUAUCUAAUACUAAAAUGUGACUUGAUACAUCCGUAUCUAGACAAAUCUAAGACAAGAAUUUUGGGACGGAGGGAGUACUUU
rnacentral:pre_miRNA from 1 species